rnacentral:rRNA from 1 species
GAUUGAACGCUGGCGGCAUGCUUUACACAUGCAAGUCGAACGGCAGCGCGGGGCAACCUGGCGGCGAGUGGCGAACGGGUGAGUAAUAUAUCGGAACGUACCCAAGAGUGGGGGAUAACGUAGCGAAAGUUACGCUAAUACCGCAUACGAUCUAAGGAUGAAAGUGGGGGAUCGCAAGACCUCAUGCUCCUGGAGCGGCCGAUAUCUGAUUAGCUAGUUGGUGAGGUAAAGGCUCACCAAGGCGACGAUCAGUAGCUGGUCUGAGAGGACGACCAGCCACACUGGAACUGAGACACGGUCCAGACUCCUACGGGAGGCAGCAGUGGGGAAUUUUGGACAAUGGGCGCAAGCCUGAUCCAGCAAUGCCGCGUGAGUGAAGAAGGCCUUCGGGUUGUAAAGCUCUUUUGUCAGGGAAGAAACGGUAGRGGCUAAUAUCCUUUGCUAAUGACGGUACCUGAAGAAUAAGCACCGGCUAACUAC